CCCUUAGAUGUUCUGGGCCGCACGCGCGCUACACUGAUGCAUUCAACGAGUCUAAAACCUGCUCUGAUAGGGGUGGGUAAUCUUUUGAAUGUGCAUCGUGAUUGGGAUAGAUGAUUGAAAUUUUUCAUCUUCAACGAGGAAUGCCUAGUAAACGCAAGUCAUCAGCUUGCAUUGAUUACGUCCCUGCCCUUUGUACGCACCGCCUGUCGCUCCUACCGAUUGAAUGAUCCGAUGAAUAUCAUGGAUUGAGGAUGCAAGUAGGUUCACCUAUCUUCAUCUUCGAGAAGUGAAGUAAAUCUUAUCAUUUAGAGGAAGGAGAAGUCGUAACA
rnacentral:rRNA from 1 species